GGUUGUGAGGCGGAGGGAAGAGCGUCCUCUCUUCUCUAUGGUUGUGGCGGCACCACGGGGCCGACGGGAGGCUGGCGGACUAUGUACAUUUUUCCCUUAUUACCUCACGAGCAGGGAGGAGGCUGCCGGGAUAGCGGAGGACCUUCCCUCGGCCUCGCUCUAGUCCUCCAGGUCCCCGCGCUACCCGGCGGCCCCGGGAAGCCCGGCUCCCGGCCCGGCCGCGGCGGGCCCUGCCUCCCCCCGCCCGCCGGGCCCGCUUCUCUGGGGAGCCUCGUUCAGGCCCAUGGCUCCAUGAGGCGGGAGAAGGAGGCGGCGGGGUAGCAGCGGCGGCGGCAGGGCUGAGGCGGAGGAGAAGCCGCGUCCGGCCCGGGACGGGUGCAGGAGGGUUCUGCAGUGCUCCAGGCAGCAAGUUGUGAAGCAGGAUGGGAAAAAGACGCUGUGUUCCUCCACUUGAGCCCAAGCUGGCAGCUGGCUGUUGUGGGGUGAAGAAGCCCAAGUUAUCUGGGAGUGGAACGCACAGUCAUGGGAAUCAGGCCACAACUAUACCAGGCUCCAGUUCAGGUCCUCUUCAGAACCACCAGCACACAGACGGGAAUAAUGGAAGGGAGAAUGUAUCUGACUUGACUUUGGGCCCAGGAAAUUCCCCAGUUACUCGAAUGAAUCCCACUUCAGGAGCUCUGAGCCCACUUACUCGGCCCAAUGGAACUGCCAACAGCACCAAGAACCUGGUGGUGACAGCAGAGAUGUGCUGCUACUGCUUUGAUGUACUCUACUGUCAUCUUUAUGGUUUCCCUCAGCCACGACUUCCUCGAUUUACCAAUGACCCCUAUCCACUCUUUGUGACGUGGAAGACGGGGCGAGACAAGCGGCUUCGUGGCUGCAUUGGGACCUUUUCAGCCAUGAAUCUUCACUCAGGACUCAGGGAAUACACAUUAACCAGUGCACUUAAGGACAGCCGAUUUCCACCCCUGACCCGCGAGGAGCUGCCCAAACUCUUCUGCUCUGUCUCCCUCCUCACUAACUUUGAAGAUGCCAGUGACUACCUGGACUGGGAGGUUGGGAUCCAUGGGAUCAGAAUAGAGUUCAUCAAUGAGAAAGGUGUCAAACGCACAGCCACGUAUUUACCUGAGGUUGCUAAGGAACAAGAGUGGAGUGAUCGCAUCCUCCCGGCUCUGGGGCAAAAGACGAAGACUGGGAUCAGAUCCAGACCAUAGACUCCUUACUCAGGAAAGGUGGCUUUAAGGCUCCGAUUACCAAUGAUUUUAGGAAAACGAUUAAACUCACCAGGUACCGCAGUGAGAAGGUGACAAUCAGUUAUGCAGAAUACAUGGCCUCGCGUCAGCAUUGUUUCCAGAAUGGCACUCUUCAUGCCCCCCCCCUUUACAAUCAUUACUCCUGACACACGGCUGCAUGACCAGUCCCACUCCCCAGUUGCUGCCAACAGCUAUGACAUCAUUGGGGCAGAUGCCUCCUCUUCCUGGUCCAGUUAUUUCUAUUACUGCACCAUUUUAUGAUGCUAGCUUCCGUUGCCAAGUCUGCCUUCCAGCUGACCUGGGGGGACGAUGAGAGCAUGACAGAACUUCAGGGGCCCAAGCCUUAUCUCAGCCUUCCCUCUGAACGAGGGUUCAGUUGGAUUGGGGCUCCAUGCCUAUGAACUGUCGUGAGGUGCAGAAGACCUCUAGGAGUGAAAGUGCCACUUCGGACUGAUGCAUUCUUGUGUAUUACCGACGCUCUGGAAUCUUGAGUUGUUUGUUAUGGAAGCCCCCCAGAUCAAGUAGGAUCAUUCCCCUGGCAGUCUGGGCAACGGAGUCCAACAAAACAUUUUUUAGGUUCUUUUUAAGUUGAUUUUUUUUUUAAUCUCUUGUAUCUGUUGUGUACUGAGAGCUGAUUGCAGUCCCCACACAUCACAGACGGACAUUAUGAUACUGGGGAGUGUUGCACAUCUGGAUAGCACCUCAUCCUCGCAGACAGAAAACACUUAAAGACGUGAAAAGCCUUUGGAUGGUAUUGCAGAUGAAUUUAUUAUUUAAAUAAGAAGGCUUUAAUUAUCAGAUCCCACUGAGGGAUGGGUUUCUAGAAAUCCUCUUCGUUUACAGUUUUCUGGGUUUUUUUCAGACAGUGCUUUGUAAUGCAGCCUGCUAUGAAACAGAAUACUAUUAGACCUGUAAGAGAGCAGCAUGGCACAUGCUGUGUGUGCAUAGGAUGAGUUACUUGAGUGUCCGUGGACAGUCUGCUCUGUUGCAACCAAGUGUUUUGCCUAAACAUUUGUAGCAGAGCCUGAUUGCACGAGGGGUGGGGAGGGCAUUGGCUGUAGUCAUACAAGCGAGACUAGUGACUGAAAUCUGUUUAGCUUAAGCUAAAGUCUCGGGGACCUUCCUUUUGACAGGACAGCCACUUUCUCUGGUGUGACUACUGACCUUUGAGAACUGUGAGUAUUCCAGUUUAUAGCAGGCCUAUAGAGAAGAGCUGUGUAGUUUAACUGGUAAAUUAUUAUCUUACACAGUUUAAUCAUUACCACAUUAAGGCAAUGAGUGGGGAAACCCGUAUUACCCAGAGUGUGUAAAACUCGUAUGCAUCCCUUGUUUCUUCUCCCAUCGUUGAUGAUUACAAGAAAUACUUUCUCCUAAAAGGAAGAGUGAAGUUAUCCCGUUGUUAUUCUGCAGUGUCAUUGAGGGAUGUCGUGAACUCAGUGAUGGAUGUCCAAAUGUAAUUUGUGGGGGCUUGCUUUGUUUUCCAAGUUUCUGUAUGGUCAACAAUGAUUGGGAAAGAAAAAAACAAGUGCAUAGCAAGAGUAAUGGCUGCUUGGUUGCGUAUAUCUUUAAAGCUUUCAUGCGUGUGGUAAUGAUGGCUUUUAAAACUGACUGGUGUUUGAAGCCUGAAAUUCUCUCCUGGCAUGGCAGGGAAUAGGGCUGGUAGAAAGCUCAGAACUGCAUGCUGCUGCUCCUUCUGGUCCUAGAGAAGCACACAGAAUUGUGCAGUUUUGCUUCAUAUUGGUGUAAUAUCCUCCUGCUGGAGGACAGAUACGUGAGGGAAAGGAGGGGGUCCUAUUCUGGAUAAUGGUGCAAUAUUGACCCAGCUUUCCUCCUGUACUGGGUCGUCCUUAGAAAUUGCCACUUUUCCCUUGUGAUGUUGUUGAAAAGCAGUUGAAGAUUAAGGGAUUGUUUCUUCGUUUCCUGCUGCUGAGAAUAAAUCGGUCUUGUUAAAAACUCGAGUGGUUUGUAAUUACUCUCCCAGGUGCCGUGUAGUGAUGGGCGAGGGUGGGGUCAGCUCUGGACAUGCCAUUCACCUUUCAGCUGUCAAACAGUAUGAUACAUAGGGCUACACUCAUUACUGUUCAAGUGUUCUAUGUUAGAAUUUAAUUUCUAAGAAGUUUAAAACAAGCAAAAAAAAUGGUGCUAAAACUUCACCCCUGAGCACGCUCAGUGAGACUGGUCAUGCAGGCAUAUAGUGCCAGGCUUUUCAACAGUAUUGUUUCUUUUCCCAAUGUUUGCCCUGUUCUGUGUCUUCAACAGUGUAUGGUGUUUCCUGAUUUCAUUUUAUUUGAAUAGGGGAUAUCUAAGGGGUGGGGUGGGGAGGGUUAGCUGUCAUUUUUAAGAACAGGAUUUUAGGAUCGAGUGACUUGGUUGGUUGAAGCCUGAAGUGGGCAGGUGGUCUGGGACUGGGGAAGUUUUAUCCUCUCCCACUUCCAUUUCCCCACUCAGCCUGUUUAAGAAAGCAAAAACAAAAAUGCCUCUAAAUAUGUACUGUGUUCUUGUCUUGUUGCAGUGAGAAAAGAAGUUGGCAAAUCAGAAACAUUGGUCUGCCUAAGAAACAGGCCCUCGCAGCUUUAGUCCCAUAAGGGUCCAGCUGUAAAACUAGUCAAAAGGUGUGUCAAUAGUUAAGUUAGCUCAGAAGAAAAAUGCAUGACAAGGACAUGUGGUCUCAGGAAAUAAUCCCAUUUCUAGAUCAUUACAUGGCAGCUAUGCAUAAGGAUGGAAGAGGUGAACUAGAAACAAAACUUGCUUUGAGUUGUCUUGAGACAGAGGCGACCAAGAUCAGUGACCAGUUGAUGUAAGAAUUUCUCAACAGUAAUUUGACUGGGACCGCAGGUUAGAACUGCUCCUUCUCAAAGCAACUGCUACCUGGUUUGAUCUGGACUUAACUCAUCCUUAGGAGCAAGUGCCUUUUGGUCUAGAAGGGCUUAUUCUCAUGACAACCACAAAUGAGAAAUAAUCUCACUGCAAUUAUGAAUUGUCUUUGUUUUACAGUAACUGCAGGAGAAUGUCUUUGAUCACUGGAGUCUGUCAGUGUUGGAAUGUUGCCACUGUGAGGUUCUUUACCUUUUUCUUUUUCCAUAAUGUUCAACAGUCAAUCUCAGCUGAUGCCAUUUCAGUUUGGGAAUGUUUUAUAAUCAAAAUAUCACAUAUCUACAAUUUAUCAGAGAAAAAAAUCCGUAAGAGAAUCUAAGAGUUCAUUUUAACCUUUGCACAGAAUGAUUUGUUUUCAUAGUACAUUAACAGACAUCUGCAAUCUUCACUAUUAGUGCUGUUUUCUGUUUGUAUUCUGGAAACUACAUGUUGUUUUCUUGGGUUUUUUUUUGGUUAAUUUAUUUCCUUAAAGCAGGAGACCUCUUUUGACCUUCAGUGCAGAGAUGUCAGACCAAUUCUUUGUAUUACACUUGGUUGCCUCCUACCUAUAUUAUAACUUCUGAGUGUAAAUAAUUGAACUCUAUCCUCUAAUGAAGUAUUGUAGAGAAUAAAUCAUAAUGGAUAAAGA